GACGAACGCUGGCGGCAUGCCUAACACAUGCAAGUCUAGGGGUAGCAAUACCACUGGCGCACGGGUGAGUAACACGUGGGUUAUCUGCCCCCAUCACAGACAUAACCCCGGGAAACCGGGGCUAAUAUCUGAUGAGGUCGCGAGAUCAAAGCUUCGGCGGAUGGGGAUGAGCCUGCGGCUGAUUAGCUAGUUGGUGAGGUAAUGGCUCACCAAGGCGACGAUCAGUAGCUGGUCUGAGAGGACGAACAGCCACACUGGAACUGAGACACGGUCCAGACUCCUACGGGAGGCAGCAGUGAGGAAUAUUGGUCAAUGGGAGCAAUCCUGAACCAGCAAUGCCGCGUGUGGGAUGACAGGGCUUCGCCUUGUAAACCACUGUCGGACGGGACGAAAGGAGGCCUCGGGCCUCUGGGACGGUACCGUCAAAGGAAGGGUCGGCGUAACUACGUGCCAGCAGCCGCGGUAAU
rnacentral:rRNA from 1 species